ACUUGAGUUCGUGUUGUUUUUGAACAUGAGUUUGUGGUGUGUUUGAACUUGAGUUUGUGUCGUGUUUUUGAACUUGAGUUUAUUUUUGGAUUUGAAAUUGAGUUUGUGGUGUUUGCUGAACUUAAGUUUGUGUUGUAUUUGAACUGAAGUAUGUGGUGUUUUUGAACUUGAGUCAGUAUUGUUUUUGAACUUGAGGUUUUGGUGUGUUUGAACUUGAUUUUGUGUGUUUGUUGAACUUGAGUUUGUGGUCUUUUUGAACUUGAGUUUC